AGGGCAGAAGAAAAUGGAAAACAAAGACAAACAAACCAAAGAAGGCGGAUGAAGUAGAAGCCAUUCAUUCUUUCCAUGAACAUUGACCCUAUAUCCUGAAGGUGGAUCCAAUGAAAAAAGAGAAGCAGCAAGAGUGGCUUCUGUUUCCCUGGCUGGACUCUGAGUAAUAUAGCAGCAAUAAUUUCCCAAGGGAAAGGAGGAAGACGGGUUGGCUCCAAUGAAGACACUUAUGAUGUGAAGAGUUCCCGUAACAGUUCACCAUCUCUGGGGCAGUUAUACAACAGGGAUCCCUGACUUCUUCAGAACCGAGAGUUCAAAUCAGGACUAUCUGGUGAUGAAUCUAUCCACUAGAAGCUGGUAAGUGGCUUACAUGGACUAUAUGAGGUCUCACUAUGUUGCCAGGGCUGGACUCAUACUCCUGGACUUGAGCAAUCUUUUUUCCUCAGCUUCCUGGGUGGCUGGGACUACAGGUGUGAACAACCACAUCCAGACUCUACAGUUUUCAUAUAAUUGUCCAUCUGUGAUGCCACAUACCACAUCUCAAUUUUACAGAUGUUCAGAGAGGUUAGGUAACUUUUCCAAACUCAUCCAGCUAACAAAUAACAUUGUAAAUUACAUCAACUGGAGGAUGCUUGUUAUUGAUUACAAAUUGCAUUUAUCAGUUGGUCAGAUGACUAGUCAGCCACUGGAUUAUUCCAAGAAGAUUCUAUCAAUCAUAAUAAGUUAUUAGAAAGUUGUUCUUGGACGAAUUUUGUACUUUCUCCCAGAUCUGAAAAAUAGCAAGGCACGUAUAUAAAAUAC
rnacentral:lncRNA from 1 species